UACGAAGGGGGCUAGCGUUGCUCGGAAUUACUGGGCGUCACGGGCGCGUAGGCGGAUCGUUUCGUCAGAGGUAAAAGCCCAGGGCUCAACCUUGGAACUGCCUUUGAUACUGGCUAUCUUGAGUACGGGAGAGGUGUGUGGAACUCCGAGUGUAGAGGUGAAAUGCGUAGAUAUUCGGAAGAACACCAGUGGCGAAGGCGACACACUGGCCCGUUACUGACGCUGAGGCGCGAAAGCGUGGGGAGCAAACAGG
rnacentral:rRNA from 1 species